UUUAAUUUUUAUCGAGUUUACAGUGAUUGAUUCGUGGGGAUCGAUUCCAUCUGGAAUACUCUAUGGAAAUUUCUUUGACAUGGGCAACUACGAUGAGUGCAUCAAAACCUAUAAAGCGAUAACAGAUAGUCAUAGCAUAAGAGGGAAAUACUGCUUUGCCAAGAUUUCCUUCCGUGCAACUCUCAAGAUUGCAGUUUGCUUUCCCUCCUCAUGUUCAGCAGAAUUAAUGGAUACCUUUAUUGGGCAAAUUGCAAACAGGUUACUCAAUGUGACUAUAACCAAUAAUAUUGUGGAUGAAGCAACCUGUUCAACAGCUAAGAAGGAACCCUUUUUUGGAGUCACUAUAUUAAUCAUUGUAAUACUGUCAGUUCUGGCUGCUGCUAUGAUUUUAGCCACGCUUUGCGACUAUUUCAUUUGUAGAGAUCAGAAUAAAUUGCCAAUAAUUAUUAAAGCUUUCUCCGCACGUGCCAAUUCUCGUGCUCUCUUUCGUCUCGUCGAACCCAUAUCGAAUCCCAACGUCAUCGAUUGUGUUCAUGGCAUGAGAUGCUUGUCUCUCAUCUAGGUUAUCUAAGGUCAUCAAUAUAUUGUAUUACUUAGAUCACCUAAAACUAAUUACGUGAGCCUUCUAACUUGGCUUCAAUCGUUUUUCGCAAGCUUUAUAUUACAUGGUCCCUUCUCAGUUGAUACAUUCUUCUUUUUAAGUGGUCUGUUGUUGGUAAUGAUUGCUCUACGGUAGCUCGAAAAAUCCAAAGGCCAAAUGAAUAUUCCAAUGAUGUAUCUCCAUCGCUAUCUACGGCUCACUCCUGUCUUGGCAUAAGGUAUUCCCAUGUACAUGAAGCUUCUUCCUCUAAUGAGUGAUGGUCCUGUGACUGACAGAGUUAAUUUUGGCGACUUCGACGUUUGCAAACGCACUUGGAAUUUGUCUCUACUCUAUGUUCAGAACUAUGCAACUAAAGAAAUCUGUCUUGGUCAUACUUGGUACCUGGCUGUAGAUAUGCAACUGUAUAUUCUAUCGCCAAUUUUUCUUAUCUCGCUAUACAAGUGGGGCAAGAAAGCCGCUGGGGGGAAUCUUUGUACUCAUGCUUCUACUCUCUGGCUGCCUUUUUGCU